rnacentral:hammerhead_ribozyme from 1 species
AUCCAGCUGACGCGUCCCAAAUAGGACGAAACGCGCGUCAAGCAGGAU